AAACCGCCCUUAAGUAUUGACUUUUUUGCAGUUUUGGCCCCCUAGAUCAAUUUUGACAAAGUCAAUGCACACAUGGACGCCACCUGUGUAUUUAUUUUUUAAUAAUUAAAAAAAAAUACACACGUGGCGUCGACGUCAGCUUUGACUUGGUCAAAAUUGGCAUGGGGCCAAAACUGCAAAAAAGUCAAUACUUAGGGGGCAGUUU
rfam:Medicago truncatula strain A17 chromosome 2, whole genome shotgun sequence.